GAAGAACGCUGGCGGCGUGCCUAAUACAUGCAAGUAGAACGCAGUUUCGAAAGGGUGAGUAACGCGUAGGUAACGGCCUCAAAGCGGGGGAUAACUAUUGGAAACGAUAGCUAAUACCGCAUACAGUGAGAUGGACCUGCGUUGUAUUAGCUAGUUGGUGAGGUAAAGGUUAACCAAGGCGACGAUACAUAGCCGACCUGGAAUGGGGUGCGGCCACACCGGGAGUGGGGCACGGGCCAGACUCCGUCGGGUGGUAGCAGAAGGGGAACUGCGGCGAGCGGCUGAAGUCUGACCGAGCAACGGCCCGGGAGUGUAGAAGGUUAUCGGAUCGUAAAGCUCUGUUGUUUGAGAAGCGGUAACUAACCAUAAAGGGCCGGCUAACUACGUGCCAGCAGCCGCGGUAAUUC
rnacentral:rRNA from 1 species